GCUGAGGCAGGAGGAUGCUUGAGCCCAGGAGGUACAGGCUGCAGUGAGCCAUGAUCACGCCACUGCACUCCUGCCUGGGCUGCCGUGGGCUAUGCCUAGCUGGCGUCUGCACUAAGUUCAGCAUCAGCAUGGUGACCUCCCGGGUGCAAGGGGACCACCAGGUUGCCUAAGGAGGGGUGAACCGACUCAGAUCAGAAAUGGAGCAGGUGAAAACCCUGUGCUAAUCAGUAGUGGGAUCCUGCCUGUGAAUAGCCACUGCACUCCAGGCUGGGUGACAUGGUCAGAACCCAUCU
rnacentral:SRP_RNA from 10 species